CCGUGUUUAUUAUACCUUGUUGCUUCGGUGCGCCCGCCUCACGGCCGCCGGGGGGCUUCUGCCCCCGGGUCCGCGCGCACCGGAGACACUAUUGAACUCUGUCUGAAGAUUGCAGUCUGAGCAUAAACUAAAUAAGUUAAAACUUUCAACAACGGAUCUCUUGGUUCCGGCAUCGAUGAAGAACGCAGCGAAAUGCGAUAACUAAUGUGAAUUGCAGAAUUCAGUGAAUCAUCGAGUCUUUGAACGCACAUUGCGCCCCCUGGUAUUCCGGGGGGCAUGCCUGUCCGAGCGUCAUUGCUGCCCUCAAGCACGGCUUGUGUGUUGGGCUCCGUCCCCCCGGGGACGGGUCCGAAAGGCAGCGGCGGCACCGAGUCCGGUCCUCGAGCGUAUGGGGCUUUGUCACCCGCUCUGUAGGCCCGGCCGGCGCCAGCCGACAACCAAUCAUCCUUUUUUCAGGUUGACCUCGGAUCAGGUAGGGAUACCCGCUGAACUUAAGCAUAUC
rnacentral:rRNA from 1 species